ensembl:snoRNA
GGUCAAUGAUGUGAUGGUAUGUAUUAGCUGAAUCUGAAGUUGAUGUGUAUCAACAAGCUCUAGAAUUACACUGAGACCUU